UUAAUAGAUGUUCAGUUCAUUGCAUAAAUUCCGCAUGUGAUGAUGUUGCCAUUUUAGUUUUCCAGGUUAUAUUUAUCAAAGAGGGAGUUUCUAUGUAAGUCUCCUGCAGUACAUUAUCCAAUUUGUAGCAGAUAUAUUGUGGUGGCGUUUGUCACGAUUUAACGCAUGCCCGUGAAACCCUAGAUGUGGGGAUGGGGCUCACAACACCUAUGCUUCUGUUACCCCGACGUCGACGAUUAUCACCUUUUGAUGUCGCCUGGGUGGCCGGGGGCUCCCCACCUUGGUGCGGUGGAAUGUGUGGGGUUGACACAUAGAAGCCGACUCCACCGUCCAGAUCAAGUGGCCGAGCUGCUGCUGCUUCCUUGGAGCGCUGGAAGGGUUGUGCCAUUGCUGCAGCGGCCACCGGUGAGGCGUCGUGUGUGCGGAUUGUGGCUGCUGCUCCUGUUGCACAUGCCCGAGAUGCUUGUGUGGCUGCAAGUGCUCUUGCCCAGCUGCUCCCCUGCGCAUUCC